rnacentral:sRNA from 1 species
GUUUGGGGCGUGUCCACCAGCCCGGGCUGUCUGCUGCGUUCGUCAGCGGAGCGGGGCGGGCGUCCGGGGUCAGAGGAGAGGGCUGCUUGUCCCGGCGGCUCCCUGGCCUGGGGGCUGCAGACUCCAAGGGACUGGGCCAGCCCCGUAGCCAGGGAACCAGAAUGGUGGCGCCUGGGAGAGGACGAGGCAAGCGGGAGAUGGAGGUGCCUCCCCUUCCCCUGUUGGCAGCCAGCUCCUGAGUGGGCCUUGCCUUCCUGCUGGGCUUUCAGCAGAGAUGCUGAGCGGGUGGUGGGGUGCACUGCCCUGCUCAGCCCCCAUUGAAGAGCCCAGCCCCUUCUUGUUUGGGAGAAAUGGUCACUGCUGUACCUCCUCCUCCUCAGCUGCCCUCUCUCACCCAGAACCGGAGGAGCAGGAGCGGCUUCGCUUGGAGCGGGAGCGAGAGCAGGAACAGAAGAAGGCCAAUAGCCUGGCCAGGCUGGCACAUACCCUUCCUGUGGAGGAACCCCGCAUGGAGGCGCCACCCCUGCCU